UGUGACUGGAGUUCACGCGUGUUCUCUGAUAUGGAGUGGAAUUGAGUUCCAUUUUCUAAUUGCUUGAUAUGAAAAUGCUGAUUGGCCAAAAGUGGUCUUUUUGAAUGUAGUGUAACAGUCUCCUCUCAUUGCAGCCCUAGAUACCCUAACAUUGUCUCUACAGAAUGUAGUGUAACAGUCUCCUCUCAUUGCAGCCCUAGAUACCCUAACAUUGUCUCUACAGAAUGUAGUGUAACAGUCUCCUCUCAUUGCAGCCCUAGAUACCCUAACAUUGCCUCUACAGAAUGUAGUGUAACAGUCUCCUCUCAUUGCAGCCCUAGAUACCCUAACAUUGCCUCUACAGAAUGUAGUGUAACAGUCUCCUCUCAUUGCAGCCCUAGAUACCCUAACAUUGCCUCUACAGAAUGUAGUGUAACAGUCUCCUCUCAUUGCAGCCCUAGAUACCCUAACAUCGUCUCUACAGAAUGUAGUGUAACAGUCUCCUCUCAUUGCAGCCCUAGAUGCCCUAACAUCGUCUCUACAGAAUGACACACAUUGCUUAAGUGGUGGUGGUGCAAGAUCAUGGGUCAAUUUGUACAUCAGGCACAUGUCAGAGAACCAAAUAAAACUGUCAAAUGUUAACAGCUAUGUUUUUUUUAUAAUAGUACAGUGGUGAUAAUUUCUUGUUUUUUUAUCAAGCACUUUCACAGCCUGUUUGUAUAGAGAGUACAAGGGUUUCAGAGUGGUCACACCUGCCUGGGACCAGCUUGUAGCACAAUAAGACAAAUGGCAGAAAAUCAUUGAGUGCAUAAACAGUUUAGCAGCAUGUAAGGGUAAUUGAUGUCUAAUAUGUCUAAAAGUAAUCAAACUCGCUCUAACAUUUCUAGAUAUCUUCUUAAUAUGCUUUCUGAAAUUUAAAUUGGAAUCAAUGAUUAUGCCCAGGUAUUUAAAGUGGUCAACAAUUUUGAUCACCUCUCCUUUGACCAAGAUGUCAGGUUGUUGCUGUGCAUUUCCCUUUUUAAAGAAAUACAUAGCAACAGUUUUACUUACAUUGAGAGUCAGACAGCUACUAGUUAGCCAAUCUGACACUUUAUUUAGGACUGCAGUAAGUUUUAAAGCAGCCUGUUCUCUAUUUUUGGCAUGUGUAUAGAUUACUGUAUCGUCCGCAUACAUUUGGAUAUUGACAUCUGGG